UACGAGGGGGGCGAGCGUUGUUCGGAAUUACUGGGCGUAAAGCGCACGUAGGCGGCUUUGUAAGUUAGAGGUGAAAGCCCAGGGCUUAACCCUGGAAUUGCCUUUAAGACUGCAUCGCUAGAAUCGUGGAGAGGUGAGUGGAAUUCCGAGUGUAGAGGUGAAAUUCGUAGAUAUUGGGAGGAACACCAGUGGCGAAGGCGGCUCACUGGACCGGAACUGACGCUGAGGCGCGAAAGCGUGGGGAGCAAACGGG
rnacentral:rRNA from 1 species